AAUGGGGGAAACCCUGAUGCAGCGAUGCCGCGUGAGUGAAGAAGGCCUUUGGGUUGUAAAGCUCUUUCGUCGGGGAAGAAAAUGACUGUACCCGAAUAAGAAGGUCCGGCUAACUUCGUGCCAGCAGCCGCGGUAAUACGAAGGGACCUAGCGUAGUUCGGAAUUACUGGGCUUAAAGAGUUCGUAGGUGGUUAAAAAAGUUGGUGGUGAAAUCCCAGAGCUUAACUCUGGAACUGCCAUCAAAACUUUUUAGCUAGAGUAUGAUAGAGGAAAGCAGAAUUUCUAGUGUAGAGGUGAAAUUCGUAGAUAUUAGAAAGAAUACCAAUUGCGAAGGCAGCUUUCUGGAUCAUUACUGACACUGAGGAACGAAAGCAUGGGUAGCGAAGAGGAUU
rnacentral:rRNA from 1 species